UACGUAGGGACCGAGCGUUGUCCGGAAUCAUUGGGCGUAAAGAGCGUGUACGCGGCUCGCUAAGUCUUGCGUGAAAUCUCGGGGCUCAACCCCGAGCGGUCGUGAGAAACUGGCGGGCUAGAGUGCGGGAGAGGAGAGUGGAAUUCCUGGUGUAGCGGUGAAAUGCGCAGAUAUCAGGAAGAACACCCGUGGCGAAGGCGGCUCUCUGGAACGCAACUGACGCUGAGACGCGAAAGCGUGGGGAGCAAACAGG
rnacentral:rRNA from 1 species